GGGGGCGGUCCCGGCGCCUCCACCAAAGUUAUAAUCCAACAAAGAUUAUAUUUUUAUGGGGGCGAAACAGGAUCGACAAGGGUGUAAAGAUUGCUCUUUUACUCGGCAUUGUACCACCGUUAUCGGGCUAGAUGAAUAGUUGCAAAUGACAACUAUGCGGAGGCACGUCUCAUCGCUGCUUAAGCGAUGCGAAGGCUUCAAAUUAAGUCUUAAACCGUCGCAGGUUUAAGCGGGGUUCGAAGGCACCUGGAAACAGAAGCACA
rnacentral:tmRNA from 1 species